rnacentral:rRNA from 1 species
CAGAGGGUGCGAGCGUUAAUCGGAAUUACUGGGCGUAAAGCGCGCGUAGGCGGCUUUGCAAGUCGGGUGUGAAAUCCCCAGGCUUAACCUGGGAACUGCAUUCGAGACUGCAUUGCUAGAGUAUGGGAGAGGGAAGUGGAAUUUCCGGUGUAGCGGUGAAAUGCGUAGAUAUCGGAAGGAACAUCAGUGGCGAAAGCGACUUCCUGGACCAAUACUGACGCUCAUGUGCGAAAGCGUGGGGAGCAAACAGGAUUAGAUACCCUGGUAGUCCACGCCAUAAACGAUGACAACUGGAUGUCGGGAGGGUCUGCCUCUCGGUGUCGUAGCUAACGCGUUAAGUUGUCCGCCUGGGGAGUACGGCCGCAAAGUUG